CACAUGCAAGUCGAGCGGUAUUUCCCGUAGCAUACGUGCUGACGAGCGGCGAACGGGUGAGUAACGCUUCGGAAUCUGCCCAAUGGUGGGGAAUAACCAGCCGAAAGGUUGGCUAAUACCGCAUGAGCCCUACGGGGGAAAGCGGGGGAUCGUAAGACCUCGCGCCGAUGGAUGAGCCGAAGCCGGAUUAGCUAGUUGGUAGGGUAACGGCCUACCAAGGCGACGAUCCGUAGCUGGUCUGAGAGGAAGNGCAGCCACACUGGGACUGAGACACGGCCCAGACUCCUACGGGAGGCAGCAGUGGGGAAUAUUGGACAAUGGGGGAAACCCUGAUCCAGCGACGCCGCGUGUGUGAAGAAGGCCUGCGGGUUGUAAAGCACUUUUAGUGGGGAUGAAAAGCUCAGGGAUAACACCUCUGGGUCUUGACCUANNCCACAGAAAAAGCACCGGCUAACUCUGUGCCAGCAGCCGCGGUAAUACAGAGGGUGCAAGCGUUAAUCGGAAUUACUGGGCGUAAAGCGAACGUAGACGGUUGGAUAAGUCANAUGUGAAAGCCCCGGGCUCAACCUGGGAAUUGCAUUUGAGACUGUUCAGCUAGGGUGCGGAAGAGGGAAGCGGAAUUUCCGGUGUAGCGGUG
rnacentral:rRNA from 1 species